rnacentral:tRNA from 1 species
GGGCCGUUAGCUCAUCUGGUAGAGCACCGCAUUUGCAAUGCGGGGGUAGCAGGUUCGAGUCCUGUACGGUCCACCA